ACUCAAAUGAAUAGACGGGGGCCCGCACAAGCGGUGGAGUAUGUGGUUUAAUUCGACGCUACGCGAAGAACCUUACCGGGGCUUGACAUCCCGUGCUAUCUGUUGAAAGACAGAGUUCCCUUUUGGGACGCGGAGACAGGUGGUGCAUGGCUGUCGUCAGCUCGUGUCGUGAGAUGUUGGGUUAAGUCCCGCAACGAGCGCAACCCUUGUCCUUAGUUGCCAGCGCGUCAUGGUGGGCACUCUAAGGAGACUGCCGGUGACAAACCGGAGGAAGGUGGGGAUGACGUCAAGUCAUCAUGCCCCUUAUGUUCCGGGCUACACACGUACUACAAUGGUCUGUACAGAGGGUCGCGAAGCCGCGAGGUGGAGCCAAUCCCAGAAAGCAGAUCUCAGUUCGGAUUGCAGGCUGAAACUCGCCUGCAUGAAGUUGGAAUCGCUAGUAAUCGCAGGUCAGCAUACUGCGGUGAAUACGUUCCCGGGCCUUGCACACACCGCCCGU
rnacentral:rRNA from 1 species